GUCGAACGAUGAUGCCCAGCUUGCUGGGCGGAUUAGUGGCGAACGGGUGAGUAAUACGUGAGUAACCUGCCCUUGACUCUGGGAUAAGCCUGGGAAACUGGGUCUAAUACUGGAUACUACCUCUUGCCGCAUGGUGGGUGGUGGAAAGGGUUUUACUGGUUUUGGAUGGGCUCACGGCCUAUCAGCUUGUUGGUGGGGUAAUGGCUCACCAAGGCGACGACGGGUAGCCGGCCUGAGAGGGUGACCGGCCACACUGGGACUGAGACACGGCCCAGACUCCUACGGGAGGCAGCAGUGGGGAAUAUUGCACAAUGGGCGGAAGCCUGAUGCAGCGACGCCGCGUGAGGGAUGACGGCCUUCGGGUUGUAAACCUCUUUCAGUAGGGAAGAAGCGAGAGUGACGGUACCUGCAGAAGAAGCGCCGGCUAACUACGUGCCAGCAGCCGCGGUAAUACGUAGGGCGCAAGCGUUGUCCGGAAUUAUUGGGCGUAAAGAGCUCGUAGGCGGUUUGUCGCGUCUGCUGUGAAAGCCCGGGGCUCAACCCCGGGUCUGCAGUGGGUACGGGCAGACUAGAGUGCAGUAGGGGAGACUGGAAUUCCUGGUGUAGCGGUGAAAUGCGCAGAUAUCAGGAGGAACACCGAUGGCGAAGGCAGGUCUCUGGGCUGUUACUGACGCU
rnacentral:rRNA from 1 species